rnacentral:rRNA from 1 species
ACGAACGCUGGCGGCGUGCCUAACACAUGCAAGUCGAACGAGAAAGGGGCUUCGGCCCUGAGUAAAGUGGCGCACGGGUGAGUAACACGUGGGUAACCUGCCUCUGAGAUUGGGAUAACCUGUCGAAAGACGGACUAAUACCGAAUAAGACCACAGUUUCCUUGGAAACAGGGGUAAAAGGUAGCCUCUACUUGUAAGCUAUCACUUAGAGAUGGGCCUGCGUACCAUUAGCUCGUUGGUGGGGUAACGGCCUACCAAGGCAAAGAUGGUUAGCUGGUCUGAGAGGAUGAUCAGCCACACUGGAACUGAGACACGGUCCAGACUCCUACGGGAGGCAGCAGUGGGGAAUAUUGCGCAAUGGGCGAAAGCCUGACGCAGCAACGCCGCGUGAGUGAUGAAGGCCUUCGGGUCGUAAAGCUCUGUCGGAGGGAACGAAUGCUCUUGAGGUUAAUAGCCCCUAGUCUGACGGUACCCUUCGAGGAAGCCCCGGCUAACUACGUGCCAGCAGCCGCGGUAAUACGUAGGGGGCGAGCGUUGUCCGGAAUUAUUGGGCGUAAAGAGCGUGUAGGCGGUUCGGUAAGUCUGCCGUGAAAACCUGGGGCUCAACCCCGGGCGUGCGGUGGAUACUGCCGGGCUAGAGGGUGGUAGAGGCGAGUGGAAUUCCCGGUGUAGCGGUGAAAUGCGCAGAUAUCGGGAGGAACACCAGUAGCGAAGGCGGCUCGCUGGGCCAUUCCUGACGCUGAGACGCGAAAGCUAGGGGAGCGAACAGGAUUAGAUACCCUGGUAGUCCUAGCCGUAAACGAUGAACACUAGGUGUGGGGGGAGUCGAAUCCCUCUGUGCCGCAGCCAACGCGUUAAGUGUUCCGCCUGGGGAGUACGGCCGCAAGGCUAAAACUCAAAAGAAUUGACGGGGGCCCGCACAAGCAGCGGAGCAUGUUCUUUAAUUCGAUGCAACGCGAAGAACCUUACCUGGGCUUGACAUGGUGCUGCAAGCGCACGGAAACGUGUGACCUUCGAGGGUGCACCACAGAUGCUGCAUGGCUGUCGUCAGCUCGUGUCGUGAGAUGUUGGGUUAAGUCCCGCAACGAGCGCAACCCCCGUGGCGUGUUGCCAGCAUUAAGUUGGGGACUCACGCCAGACUGCCGGUGACAAACCGGAGGAAGGUGGGGAUGACGUCAAGUCAUCAUGGCUCUUACGUCCAGGGCUAGAAACGUGCUACAAUGGCGCAUACAAAGGGCAGCAAGACCGCAAGGUGGAGCGAAUCUCAUCAAAAUGCGUCUAAGUUCGGAUCGGGGUCUGCAACUCGACCCCGUGAAGGCGGAGUUGCUAGUAAUCGCGGAUCAGCAUGCCGCGGUGAUACAUUCCCAGGCAUUGCACUCACCG